UACGAAGGGAGCUAGCGUUGUUCGGAAUCACUGGGCGUAAAGCGCGUGUAGGCGGCUUUGCAAGUCGGGUGUGAAAGCCCUCAGCUCAACUGAGGAAGUGCGCCCGAAACUGCAGAGCUUGAGUACCGGAGAGGGUAGCGGAAUUCCCCAAGUAGAGGUGAAAUUCGUAGAUAUGGGGAGGAACACCGGUGGCGAAGGCGGCUACCUGGACGGUCACUGACGCUGAGACGCGAAAGCGUGGGGAGCAAACAGG
rnacentral:rRNA from 1 species